UGAGCCAACAGUGACAGCUGAUGGCUCAUGAGUAACGGACGAUGAUGACUACUGAGUGUCUGGAACUCUGAGGUCCCA
rnacentral:snoRNA from 1 species